UUUUAUAAGGUCAAGUGUAUAAAUCGAUUAUAAAUAACACCGUUAAGUCAUAAUUAUUGGAUGACGGUUGAUGGAGCCUGUUGAAACUUAAACUUGUCUUCGUGCUUAUUUUAUUUUCGUUGCUUUAUUAAUUUUCUGCGUUGUAUCAAUUAUAUAUUAGCCACUGCUUACCUAUAGGUACUUCAGUUCUAAUUUUGAUUUUCGGAUUAAAUAGUGUAACUUAUAAAAAGUGAGUGGGAAUUUCCCGUCUCUUAACAUAAUUAUUUCGUAGCCUACAUACCACACUUCAUCUGAUCCCCAUAAUGAAAACAGCAUUGCUAGUAGUAAUCACGAUAUUAGGCGUGGUUGGAGCGAAUGGAGAGUACUUUCAUCAUCCGAAUGGAGCUAUAAGUUUUUAUAAGCAAGAUGUAAAUCUCCCAUUCGUUUAUACUUAUUAUAUAACUCCCAAGCAACAUUCCAACAAUCUUGGCUAUUUUCAAAGUCCACUAAGAACAGGAAAUCAAUUUGUUCAGGUAUUAAACCAAAAAUUGAUGACGAAUGGAGAUUCAACAAGAUUUUCGAAAUUUGCUAAUGGCAAACCGUUGCUGAAUGUAGCCUCCAAGAACGAUUUUGUCGUUUCGAACAAACAAAUUGAAGCGUAUAAUGAUUACAUUAGAGACCAAGAGCAAGAAGAAAAUGUACGUAAAUAGUAAGCAACAUUAGAAUUAAAUACUGUUUGGAUUAUGAUAUGAUCUAUAUCUUUGUAUUGCAGUUAAUUGCAUUUAAUAAAGAGUUGUACCUACA